rnacentral:rRNA from 1 species
AUGGAUGAUUAUACAGAAUUUUUAUGCCGGAUUGAAUUUUGCUUCUAUCUUUUAGAUUCGUCCGCGGGAGGCACUUUUAUGGAAAUCACUUUAGGAGAAGCUACCAAACUCCUUGAUAAUAUUAUGGUUAAUUAUUCUCAAUGGCACACUGAAAGAUCUACUAGUAAAAAAGUGCAUGCAAUUGAAGAGAUUAAUGUUUUAAGUGGAAAGAUGGAUGAACUUAUGAAAUUGUUUGCUAAUAAGAGUACUCCUACUGAUCCUAAUGAUAUACCUUUGUCUACUUUGAUUGAGAAUAAUAAUGAAUCUAUGGAUGUGAAUUUUGUUGGUAGGAACAAUUUUGGUAACAACGCGUAUAGAGGUAAUUUUAAUCCUAGGCCGUUUCCUAGUAAUUCCUCUAAUAAUUAUGGUAAUUCCUACAACAAUUCUUAUGGAAAUUAUAAUAGGAUGCCCUCUAAUUUUUAA